rnacentral:rRNA from 1 species
CGAUGGGUAGCUGGCUUGAGAGAGCGACCAGCCACACUGGAACUGAGAAACGGUCCAGACUCCUACGGGAGGCAGCAGUGAGGAAUUUUCCGCAAUGGGCGAAAGCCUGACGGAGCGACGCCGCGUGUGGGAAGAAGGCCUUCGGGUCGUAAACCACUGUCGAAGGGGACGAUAUUGACGGUACCCUUGGAGGAAGCCCCGGCUAACUACGUGCCAGCAGCCGCGGUAAGGCGUAGGGGGCAAGCGUUGUCCGGAAUUAUUGGGCGUAAAGCGCUCGUAGGUGGAUUGGCAAGUCUGCAAGGAAAGACCCGGGCUCAACUCGGGAAACCGUGUGGAUACUGCCGACCUUGAGGUAGUCAGAGGAUGAUGGAAUUCCCGGUGUAGCGGUGAAAUGCGUAGG